rnacentral:rRNA from 1 species
UAGCUAGUUGGUGGGGUAAGGGCCUACCAAGGCGACGAUCGGUAGCUGGUCUGAGAGGAUGGCCAGCCACACUGGAACUGAGACACGGUCCAGACUCCUACGGGAGGCAGCAGUGGGGAAUGUUGGACAAUGGGGGGAACCCUGAUCCAGCAAUGCCGCGUGUGUGAAGAAGGCCUGAGGGUUGUAAAGCACUUUCAGUGGGGAGGAGGUUUGAUUGGUUAAGAGCUGAUUGAAUGGACGUUACCCACAGAAGAAGCACCGGCUAACUCCGUGCCAGCAGCCGCGGUAAUACGGAGGGUGCGAGCGUUAAUCGGAAUUACUGGGCGUAAAGGGUGCGUAGGUGGUUUGGUAAGUUGUCUGUGAAAUUCCUGGGCUCAACCUGGGCAUGUCAGAUGAUACUGCUAGACUUGAGUAUGGGAGAGGGUAGUGGAAUUUCCGGUGUAGCGGUGAAAUGCGUAGAGAUCGGAAGGAACACCGGUGGCGAAGGCGGCUACCUGGCCUAAUACUGACACUGAGGCACGAAAGCGUGGGGAGCAAACAGGAUUAGAUACCCUGGUAGUCCACGCUGUAAACGAUGUCAACUAGCUGUUGGUUAUAUUAAUAUAAUUAGUGGCGC